AAUGUGUGUUGAAGAGCUGCGUUUCAACAUGCAAAGAGUUCUAGUUUAUCUAUCCUCCUAUCCUGAUUUAUCUAUCCUCCUAUCAUCCCCUCUGUUUCUCGUAGUUGACUCAUGUUUCCUGUGGUUUUGGUAAGCUUUGAGAAGUGGUGAUGGAGCAACCAGUGUUCUGUUGUGGCUUCCAAGGAUGGGCAACUCUGUCAUUAAAUAUAAGGAUGCUGCACCAUCUGGAUGAAGCUCUCGUUCUAUCUGAUUUAGUUUCCUUGGAUAUCGACUUGGAAACAGCAAUCUCGGAGAAGGAACUCCUAGGCUUCUGAAACCAAAUCACGUUCUAAGAAAACCAUUGGCUGUGGAGGCGUCCAAUACCUGACCCUACGGAAUAGGAAAGGGGCAAGCUGAAAAAGUUCACGAGAUGUCACGUCUGAGCAGAGCCUCCAUCUGGGUAUCCACUGUUGAACUCCAUUUGUGGAUUCCAUAAUACAACUCCAGAACUUUGUGGAGACUCAGAAAACAUGAGCCAACAACAGCAGAGAGGAGGAUGUUGCUGCUGUAGAUGCUGUGGAGGAGGUGGUGGUGGCGGCGGCGGGAGCAGAUGCCACGGAGGUGGUGGUAGUUCUCAAGUCAGCCGCAGCGGUGGUGGUGGCGGUGGCGGCGGCGGCUGUUGUGGGAGAAGCGGCGGAGGAUCUUCUCAACAAACCCAGAGCAGUGGCGGUGGCUGUUGUGGUGGAAGUUCUGGAGGGUCUUCUCAACAAACCCAGAGCAGCGGCGGUGGCUGUUGUGGUGGAAGUUCUGGAGGGUCUUCUCAACAAACCCAGAGCAGCAGUGGUAGCUGCUGCGGUGGACCUUCUCAGCAGAAGAUGAAGUAGACGUGUCCAGGAACUCCCGUACAAAUUCACUACUCUCAACAAUAUGUAUUUCUCCUCUGCUUGUAAACCAACUAUGCUUUGACCUCUCCAGGUGGCCUUGGGUGGUACCUUCUUGUCUUUGGAGAUCCCUGUGAAGGUAUUAAAAACC